UAGCCAACUCUUUUGAUUUUUUGGAACUUAUGAAUUAUGACAAGAGAGAAGAAAACUGACUUUAAAAGAAAACCGGUGAGAUUAAAUCAUAUGAAAUGUAUGAUGAAUCAGGAUGUGAUCAUUUGAGGCAUUCACCAAUGUCAUUACUAAUGACAAACAGGAGAAACGGAGACGGGAGAAUGGAAAGACUGAUCUUCACAGACAGCAGUCAAAACAAAGCAAAAGAAAGCGUUCAAAACUGGAAAGAAGAAAGAAGGCUGUGGAACAUCUUAAGUUAUCUAGAGGAGUCAUGGACCCCAACAUCUAAAAAGAACUUGACGGAGUGCCUUCAGUUGGACAUAACUUCACCUGAGAAGACUGAUGACGAAAACUCAACAAAGUGGGUCAGGCUCCCAUUUUCCUGGAAAACAACCAGACUGUGCAAGGGAAAAGAGGCACUGGACAAGGCAUAUAGAACAAGGUCCUGAAGACCGAAUCUGCAGAUGCCAGUUGGUAUUUGUAAGGGAUGGUAGAGAGGACACAACAACACCUCCUCCUGAGAAGUGUCCAGUUUGGGCCAUUUCCAGGGACUACUCCUCAUAGAGGUCAAACGAGGUUUCAGCUAUCAAAAGAAUACAAGAAAAAGAACUUUUUAAUUCUGUGGUUGGGGAUUUCCAGAUGUAAAUAUUGAUAGUUGUUUUGUUUUUUUUCAAUGUACCUGUAAUCAACAGUUCAGGAUAUAUAGUUUUUCAUUGUUGGUCUGUCUGUCUGCAGAAGUGUAAACCAGGCCUAAAGCUUUUGAGUGGAUGGGGCGACUGAUUUCACAGAUGUAUUCUUAGUGACCAGACUUGUUGACCUCCUUACAUGGACCUUUGAGUUUCAACCACUUUAACAAAAAAAUUAAACUGUAUUCUUGGCCACAACUUUCAAAUAGUUGAUGCUAGAGCUUUCACUUUUGCAUUCCAUUUGACAAGACUUUCAACAGGUAUAAAUAUUUUUUUGACAUUGACCUUCGAGUUGGACUCACUUUUAAAAUAUUUUAACCUUGGACAGAACUUUUGAAAAGCAAGUACUAAGGCUUUCAUAUUUCGACGGUGACAAAACCUUUCUCUCGAUACCAACAUUUUUUACCUUGACCUUUGACUUGCAAAUGAGAAACUACAACACACACAAUAAGCUGUCAUUUGGGGGCAUCAGUGUUUCACAAACACAUUUUUAAAUCAACAAGCAAAUUCAAAGAAUUGUGGUCCCCCGCUUUCAGUGUCUUUUGGGUGAGAUGUCAUUUUUUAUGACAUUUUGCGUAUAAUAUGAACGCCCUAUCAUAAGUCAUCUAUUUAGAAAUUAUCACUGAACUCCAAGGUCAAGGUCAAAGGGUUAACAUUCUUGUAUCCAAUGAAAAGUCUUCUCAAAAGGAUUACAUGAAGUAUGAAAGCCUUAGCCCUUACCAUUCAAAAGUUAUGGUCAACCUUAAAGUUUUCUCAUAAGUACUAAAAAAAUCUAAAAGGUCAAGGUCAAAAGGUCAAGGUUGUUGGUAUCAAAUGAAAGGUCUUGCCACAAAGAAUACAUAUGUGAAGUAUGAAAUUUCUGGUAUCUACUGUUCAAAAGUUGUGGCCAAGGUCAAAGUUUUUGAAAAGUAGGUCAAAUUCCAAGGUCAAGGUCCAAAAGGCAAAGUUCUUGGCAUUCAAUGAAAGGUCUUCUCACAAGAAUUAUAUAUGUGAAGUAUGAAAGCCCUUGUCCUUACCAUUCUAAACUUAUGGAUAAGGUUAAAGUUUUCUUAUAAGUACGAAAACAUCCUAGGUAAAGGUCAAAAGGUCAAAGUUGUUGGUAUCCAAUAAAAGGUCUUCCUACAAAGAAUACAUAUGUGAAAUAUGAAAGUCCUAGUACCUACCAUUCAAAAGUUAUGGCCAAAGUCAAAGUUUGGAAUUUUUGUGUAAAAUUGGGUCAAACUCCAAGGUCAAGGUCAAAAGAUCGAAUUUGAUGGUACCAAAAGAAAGGUCUUGUCUUAAGGAAUACACAUAUGAAAUAUGAAAGUCAUGGCUCCACUAAAUCAAAAGUUAUGGGCAAGGUUAAAGUUUUUGUGAUUGAUGGACAGCUAGACAGACGGACAGACAAAUGAGAUUUAAUAUCCCCUUGCUUUCCCGAAAGCAAGGGACAAUUAUUAACAGCUCUUAAGCUGUUCAAGCAGUAGAAUACAGUAGAAUUCAGAGGUUAUAUUUUGUCAAUACCUCAAGAAUCGGAUUCUAUGAUU